ACCUCGAUAGCGCAGUCGGUGGCGCACCAAAUUGGCCAUAUAUAGAUGCGGAUUCAAAUUCUGCCUGAGGUU
rnacentral:tRNA from 1 species